CCGACUGUCCAUGAACAUAUUUAUAAAAUGGGGAAAGCAGUGAAAAGCCAAUACUUUUCCCGAGUUACUAGUUAGCCACUUACAUGUAAGGUUCGCUGAGGGAAACCAGCUAAAUAAAAAUUUGCACGUGGUCACGGCUGCAGCAUCAUGAACGCCGCUCCUUCCUGUGCAGCGGGCUUCCAACGCGUCUGGAGACUCUGGAGGAGACUCC
rnacentral:lncRNA from 1 species